UGGUGAAUACAUGGUAAUUUAAAGCCAAGAGGGGGAAAAAGAACAAGGGAAAAGAAAACAAUAUAGAACUCGAGGGUAAUUGCAAUCAAUGGAACACCAAUUGACAUGCUUAGCAUGAUAAAAGUGACCAUGGUCUUCAACCACGGGUGUUAACCUAUAUUACGCAUUUUGCUUUAUGUACCCAUAUCCAACACACAUUCAGACAUUGGUGGGUAAAAGUACCAUGGAAGCCCCUAUACUUGGAGUCGGAUUGCAUUUUGCCCUCUUUACUGAAAAAAUGGACCAAUUAAUUUUUAUAUGUUAGAUCAAAAAGCAAACUGGUCCUUUUGUUAAAAAUUCUAUCCAUUUCUAGUGUUAAAAACUGAUCCUCAUACUUCAGCAUGAGGUCCAUGUGGCACGCCACUGUUAUUGUUUGGCUAUUCCAUCAAUCACGCCAGUUUUUAACAAUAAAAAUGGAUGAAAAUUGUAACAGAAAAGAACAUUUUGCUCUUUGAUUUAACGUACAAGGGCUAAUUUACUUAUUUUUUGAGUAGAAAGGCAAAAUGCAAUCUGACUCCUAGUACAGGGGCCUCCAUAGUACUUUUACCCACAUUGGUGUGUGAAUAAUAUCCUCCAAAUACAUGGAAAAUCUUAUCGACAUAUACCCGUAUUCAACUCUCAUCCCUAAGUCCAAGUAACAUAGGCACUAACUACCUAAAGAACUAGAAUUUAUAUUCAAUUGGAGAGGAUUUUCGUAAGUAAAUAAUACGGCAGCACAUUAAC
rnacentral:lncRNA from 1 species